UAGAGACGGACGUUCUUUCGAUAGAAGAGCAGGGGUCCACCUUCAGGAAUUUGGGGCUCUGUUGAAGGUGUUGGUCCCCGCGGUGGGGGCUGAACCGCCCCGGGGCGUGAGGAGACAAAGAACUCCAGAUCCAAGCUGAUUCCUUCCCGAGUUGGAAGUCGGAGGCACCGCUGUCUUGUAGGUAAAACCGUGGGGAUCUCGCCCCGCCCCAGUUAGUGUGAGUCCUGCUUGAGGGGAUGCCGUGGAGAUGCUUUCACUUAAAGACAGGGGUGCGGGAGUAGAGGAGAUGACUUUACCAUGAACAACUCAUAGAGACCACUGGGAUUUGGAGCAGGAAAGCAAGUAUAUAUCUUACGAGUAUAUAUCCGGUUCCCACUUGGCUAACUGGGAGGUUAGACCCAGGAGCCUGCUUUCAGUUCAAGGGGCUUUAUUUGGAGAGAAGAGAAAGAAGCAUGCUGUGAAACUACUUUCCUCUCAUGACCUUUACCAAGUCCUGGGGAGUGGAGACAUCAGAAGACUUCUCCAGUGGACACAUCUGGAGAGGAGCACUGUUCUAUGACAACAGACCCCUUUGAGUCAGGCAGUAGGACUGUGGCUGCUCUUCAUGGUGGAUGGCCCAGCUCAUAUCAGGUGCCUGAAGGAGGCAGGUUCUGAGGAUGUGUCCGGAUGGCUUCUACUCUAGCAGUCCUCAGGAGAGCCCAUCACCUUACAUCCCUGGUGGAAUAUGAGAAAGAGAGAGCAAGGGGAGUAGCAGAGAGAGAGGGACAAACAGACUCCUCACCGAGUGCAGAGCCCAACGUGGAACUCGAUCCAAGGACCCCAAGACCACGACCAUAGCUGAAACCAAGAGACAGACUCUCAAACAACUGAGCCACCCAGAUUUUAUUUAUUUAACAGAGAGAGACUAUGAGUGUGCAGCAGAGGGAGAAGGAGAAGCUCCCCACUGACCAAGGAGCCGGAUGCAGGACUUUAUCCCAGGACCCUGGGAUCAUGACUUGAGCUGAGGAUGGAUGCUUAACCAACUGAGCCAUUCAGGUUUGUAGAUCUGGAAUCUAAUCUGGGCCACUCUGGUGAAAGAAGACAGUGAUUAGAGAGCAUGUGCACUAGCGGGGGAACGGCAGGCAGAGGGAGGAGAAGCAGGCUCUGCAUUAAGCAGAGCCCAAUGUGGAGCUCGAUCCCAGGACGGAAAGCAGUAAAUGGCUGGUAGCUUGGUAUGGUGUGGCUGAAUAAUGUACUGGUGACUUCAAGAUGGAUCCAGAAUUUUUCCAUAAAUGUAUUAAGAUAUGGAGCAGUCCAGGAGCAGUAGCUAGGCAAACAGCAUAGCAUGCUGCCCUGGUGCCAUUUCCCACUGAGCGCAUGAGGUGAAUCAAAGACAAGCCUGUCUUCCCAGCAUGGAGGCCUGCAUUAGGUUCUGUUGAGCAGAACCUAAUGAUGGUGAGCAGCUAUAAUAAGCUUCAGAAAUAUCCAGGAAAGUAGAUCACCAUCCAUCCCCAAACCUUUGAACUCAAGCCAUGUCAGAGACAUAUUUGUUCAUCUCCUCUACAUGUCCGUAACCUCAUUAGGGGAAACAAUGAGAAACAACUUUUCAUGAAACCUGCCUUAGCCCUGAGGCUCAGCCAACCCCUUCUGCCAAAUCACAACAUUUAAAGGGCCAAGCAAUCCCCCUACGUGUUGUAUUCUCUGGGCAGGUUUUCUCACCCCUUGGGACUGCUCUGUGACAAAGGAAUCAGGUAUCAUGAGUCUUAUUUCACAGAUGACCAAGCUCAGGCUGAUAGAACCUAAGUCGUCACUCCAGGUCUGUGGCAGGGUGGGAAUGAAGUUCCAUCUCUUGCCCUCCCUAAAGGACACACAGCAGCCUCCCUCUUAGAAGAUGGGCUUUCAGGGCUAGAGAAAUGGUUGGUCACAAUUUCCUGCUACUCUCACCCCUGAGUAACCCAGUCAGAAACCCAUUUGGGUAAUGAAGAAGACAGAGGAGUUGAAAUCCCAUCCCUUGUGCCCACAGAUCUGACUAUGCAUAUGUCAGGCUACAUGUAGUGGCUAAUCCCUGAAGUGCUGAAUCAGGCUGUCCCAGCAUAGAUGGGACAGAUGAUCUAGAGGGAGAGAAAGUGAUAUGUGUGGAACUGCAUUAAGUAAAUACACAUUCUGUUUCAUUUUUUUUUAAAUUUUUAAUUUUUUAUUGAUUCACAGACCUGUACCCCUGGGGAUAAAAAUAUAUGUUUAUAAAAAAUAAAAAAUAAAAAAUCAUUUUUUAAAA